UAAGGAAUAUUGCUCAAUGGGAGAAAUCCUGAAGCAGCAACGCCGCGUGGAGGAUGAAGGGUCUAUGACUUGUAAACUCCUGUAAAGAAGGAAAAAAUUCCCAUUUGAUGGGAGAUGAUGGUACUUCUGGAGUAAGCCCCGGCUAACUACGUGCCAGCAGCCGCGGUAAUACGUAGGGGGCAAGCGUUGUCCGGAUUUACUGGGUGUAAAGGGUGCUCAGGCGGAUUUGUAAGUCAGAGGUGAAAUCUUACAGCUUAACUGUGAAACUGCCUUUGAUACUGCAAGCCUAGAGUAUGGAAGAGAGUGAUGGAAUAUCUGGUGUAGCAGUGAAAUGCGUAGAUAUCAGAUAGAACACCAAUGGCGAAGGCAGUCACUUGGUCCAUUACUGACGCUAAAGCUCGAAAGCGUGGGUAGCAAACA
rnacentral:rRNA from 1 species